rnacentral:rRNA from 1 species
UACGUAGGGCGCAAGCGUUGUCCGGAAUUAUUGGGCGUAAAGAGCUCGUAGGCGGCUUGUCACGUCGAUUGUGAAAAGCCCGAGGCUUAACCUCGGGUCUGCAGUCGAUACGGGCUAGCUAGAGUGUGGUAGGGGGAGAUCGGAAUUCCUGGUGUAGCGGUGAAAAUGUGUAGAGAUCGGAAAGAACACCAACGGCGAAAGCACUCUGCUGGGCCGACACUGACACUGAGAGACGAAAGCUAGGGGGAGCGAAUGGG